UCAGUCUGGAAAAGAGGAGGCUCAGGGUAGACCUUAUCACACCCAACAACUGUCUGAAAGGAGUCUGAAACCUCUUCUCCCAGGUAACAGCAAUAGGGCGAGAGGGAAUGACCUCAAGCUGUGUCAGGAGAGGUUCAGGCUGAAUAAGAGGAAAAAUUUAUUCUCAGACAGAGUGGUGAGGCAGUGGCACAGGCUGCCCAGGGAGAUGGUGGGGUCACCACCCCUGAGGGUAUUCAAGAACUGUGUGGAUGUGGCACUGAGGAACGUGGUUAAGUGGGCAUGGUGGACAUGGGCUGAUGGUUGGACUAGAUGGCCUUAGAGGUCUUUUCCAACCUAAAUGAUUCUAUGAUUCUACACCUACAGAGCUAAGCCUUACAGUCUAUGAAAACUUUGUUUAACCUCCCUUCUGAUUUCCAUGUUGAUUUUGUGCCCUUCACAGCCCAUCAAACAAAUUUCUAGGUCUGUAAGUUUAGAAACAAAGACCCAACACAGACAUUUAGGUGCAAUAUUUUCCAGCUGGCUUCUAAACACACCAAAAUUUUGUAGCAUUAAUGCCAAUGUCAGAAUAUAAUCCCCGGACUCCAUUUCAUGUUUCUGGAUCAAGUGGAGCCUAGCCAAUUCAGGAUUUAUAUUUUAUUCAAAAUUACUUUCAUCUCUUGACUCUCUUUUUGUUUCCCAGUCCCUGCAAGUUCAGAGUAGUUUGAAUAUGUGAUUCAUCAGAUAUUACUCAUGAGUUUCUGAACAAGUGCAUUACAGCAAGCUAUUAAAGAAAGUAAAUUGUCAGGAUAUGAAAGACAAAGUACCAUCAGGGUUUGUGAAGAGCUAGAGAAAGAAAACAAAACAGUUUCAACAGGGCAAGAGGAUAAAGGUGGAGUAUUUUCAGACACGUAUCACUGCUGGUGAGCUGAAGAAGAGACCAGACAAGGAGGCAGUGCAAGUGUCAGAUGGGACACUUAUCUCUAGGCUAGGGACACCUUAAGCUGUUCUCUGCAUCUCCUAUGGAACACAGAGGCAGCUGUAGUUCAGCACUGAUAAAUGCAAAGCAAUAAUUGGAUAGAAACCAGAGCAUUUGGUGGGAUCUAAGCUAGCUAAACUCCUAGCUGAAUGUGAAGAGUCAUUUUACACUCAAAAUAAACCUCAGUCCAGCUGUGACUGUGGUGGUAAAAAAAACAUGUAUCCACAUGCAAAUCUGCAAGUGGCAUAGAAAUAAUCCUGAAACUAUAAACUCUUCAUGUAAAACUGCAACACAGUGCACUAAAUAUGGUAUUUGGCACUGGUUAUCCAAACUAAAUGUAACAUUAUAGAAACUGAGACUGUUCAACAAGAAGUAAUAAGAUUUCUUAUAAACAACAACAAAAAGACAUAAGAGGUUGAAAAGACUAGGGCUGCUGACUGUACGGAAAUGAACAAGGUAAAAAUGAAUAUGGGUAAUAAAUAAAAAAUAAUAAUUUGGAGAACUCUUCUUUAUUGUAGUUUACAUAAUUGAAUAGUCUUAGAUUCUAAGCUGAUGAAAGAAAAUGUUUGUUCUAGACUAUUUACCACUAAUAUGUAAAAUUUGUUUUGUGAUUCAAGUUAAGUGUUAUAGACUGGUCAUAAUUUUCCCAUCAGUGAUUUCUUUGCUGGAAAAUAAGUUUUGAAACUUGCUGAAAAUUUUACCAAUUGUAAUAAACUGUAACAAACACAAAGACUUCAUGUCAGUUUACUAAAAUAAAUGAAGCAAGUGAGGAUUACAGUUUCAGCACUGCUUAGUUCAAACUUUUAAUACACAUUAUUCCAUGAUUUUAAAAUAUGUUUAUUUGUUUCCCCACGCUUUUAUUUUCUUUAUUUUCCUUUUUACUUUGAAAAUAAUUGAAAGUCUGGAGUACAAAGACUUAUAACAGAGAAAAAUUAAAAUAAUAAUAAUA
ensembl:lncRNA